UGGGGAAUCUUGGACAAUGGGCGCAAGCCUGAUCCAGCCAUGCCGCGUGAGCGAUGAAGGCCUUAGGGUUGUAAAGCUCUUUCACCUGUGAAGAUAAUGACGGUAGCAGGUAAAGAAACCCCGGCUAACUCCGUGCCAGCAGCCGCGGUAAUACGGAGGGGGUUAGCGUUGUUCGGAAUUACUGGGCGUAAAGCGCACGUAGGCGGAUCGGAAAGUUGGGGGUGAAAUCCCGGGGGCUCAACCCCGGAACUGCCUCCAAAACUAUCGGUCUAGAGUUCGAGAGAGGUGAGUGGAAUUCCGAGUGUAGAGGUGAAAUUCGUAGAUAUUUGGAGGAACACCAGUGGCGAAGGCGGCUCACUGGCUCGAUACUGACGCUGAGGUGCGAAAGUGUGGGGGAGCAAACAGGAUUAGAUACCCUGGUAGUCCACACCGUAAACGAUGAAUGCCAGUCGUCGGGUAGCAUGCUAUUCGGUGACACACCUAACGGAUUAAGCACUCCGCCUGGGGAGUACGGCCGCAGGUUAAAA
rnacentral:rRNA from 1 species